UAAGGAAUAUUGGUCAAUGGAGGCAACUCUGAACCAGCCAUGCCGCGUGAAGGAUUAAGGCCCUCUGGGUUGUAAACUUCUUUUAUAUGGGAAGAAAUGUUCUGAUUCUUCAGAGCUUGACGGUACCAUAGGAAUAAGCACCGGCUAACUCCGUGCCAGCAGCCGCGGUAAUACGAAGGGUGCAAGCGUUACUCGGAAUCACUGGGCGUAAAGCGUGCGUAGGUGGUUGUUUAAGUCUGAUGUGAAAGCCCUGGGCUCAACCUGGGAAUGGCAUUGGAAACUGGGCAGCUAGAGUGCGGUAGAGGGUAGUGGAAUUCCCGGUGUAGCAGUGAAAUGCGUAGAGAUCGGGAGGAACAUCUGUGGCGAAGGCGACUGCCUGGACCAGCACUGACACUGAGGCACGAAAGCGUGGGGAGCAAACA
rnacentral:rRNA from 1 species